rnacentral:rRNA from 1 species
UACAGAGGUCUCAAGCGUUGUUCGGAUUCAUUGGGCGUAAAGGGUGCGUAGGUGGCGUGGUAAGUCGGGUGUGAAAUUUCGGAGCUUAAACUCCGAAACUGCAUUCGAUACUGCCGUGCUUGAGGACUGGAGAGGAGACUGGGAAUUUACGGUGUAGCAGUGAAAUGCGUAGAGAUCGUAAGGAAGACCAGUGGCGAAGGCGGGUCUCUGGACAGUUCCUGACACUGAGGCACGAAGGCCAGGGGAGCAAACGGG